GACGAACGCUGGCGGCGUGCCUAAUACAUGCAAGUCGAACGCAUUUUCUUUCACCGUAGCUUGCUACACCGACAGAAAAUGAGUGGCGAACGGGUGAGUAACACGUGGGUAACCUGCCCAUCAGCGGGGGAUAACACUUGGAAACAGGUGCUAAUACCGCAUAAUUCCAUUUACUGCAUGGUAGAUGGAUGAAAGGCGCUUUUGCGUCACUGAUGGAUGGACCCGCGGUGCAUUAGCUAGUUGGUGGGGUAACGGCCUACCAAGGCUGCGAUGCAUAGCCGACCUGAGAGGGUGAUCGGCCACACUGGGACUGAGACACGGCCCAGACUCCUACGGGAGGCAGCAGUAGGGAAUCUUCGGCAAUGGACGCAAGUCUGACCGAGCAACGCCGCGUGAGUGAAGAAGGGUGUCGGAUCGUAAAACUCUGUUGUUAGAAAAGAACAAGGAUGAGAGUGGAAAGUUCAUCCCUUGACGGUAUCUAACCAGAAAGCCACGGCUAACUACGUG
rnacentral:rRNA from 1 species